rnacentral:rRNA from 1 species
AGUGAACGCUGGCGGCAGGCCUAAUACAUGCAAGUCGAACGGCAGCACAGUGGAGCUUGCUCCAUGGGUGGCGAGUGGCGGACGGGUGAGGAAUACAUGGGAAUCUGCCCAGUCGUGGGGGAUAACGUAGGGAAACUUACGCUAAUACCGCAUGCGCCCUUCGGGGGAAAGUCGGGGACCUUCGGGCCUGGCGCGAUUGGAUGAGCCCAUGUUCGAUUAGCUAGUUGGCGGGGUAAAGGCCCACCAAGGCGACGAUCGAUAGCUGGUCUGAGAGGAUGAUCAGCCACACUGGGACUGAGACACGGCCCAGACUCCUACGGGAGGUAGCAGUAGGGAAUAUUGGACAAUGGGCGCAAGCCUGAUCCAGCCAUGCCGCGUGAGUGAAGAAGGCCCUCGGGUUGUAAAGCUCUUUUGUCCGGGAAGAAAAGCAUCGGGCUAAUACCUCGGUGUUCUGACGGUACCGGAAGAAUAAGCACCGGCUAACUUCGUG